rnacentral:rRNA from 1 species
GACGAACGCUGGCGGCGUGCUUAACACAUGCAAGUCGAACGGUGAAGGGACCAGCUUGCUGGUUCUGGAUGAGUGGCGAACGGGUGAGUAACACGUGAGUAACCUGCCCCCUUCUUCUGGAUAACCGCAUGAAAGUGUGGCUAAUACGGGAUAUUCUGGGUCUGUCGCAUGACGGGCCCGGGAAAGAUAUUGCUUCGGUGGGGGAUGGGCUCGCGGCCUAUCAGCUUGUUGGUGGGGUGAUGGCCUACCAAGGCGGUGACGGGUAGCCGGCCUGAGAGGGUGGACGGUCACACUGGGACUGAGACACGGCCCAGACUCCUACGGGAGGCAGCAGUGGGGAAUAUUGCACAAUGGGCGCAAGCCUGAUGCAGCGACGCCGCGUGAGGGAUGGAGGCCUUCGGGUUGUAAACCUCUUUCGCCAGUGAAGCAGGCCUGCUCCUUGUGGGUGGGUUGACGGUAGCUGGAUAAGAAGCGCCGGCUAACUACGUGCCAGCAGCCGCGGUAAUACGUAGGGCGCGAGCGUUGUCCGGAAUUAUUGGGCGUAAAGAGCUCGUAGGCGGCUGGUCGCGUCUGUCGUGAAAUCCUCUGGCUUACUGGUGGCUUGCGGUGGGUACGGGGCCGGCUUGAGUGCGGUAGGGGAGACUGGAAUUCCUGGGUGUAGCUGUGGAAUGCGCAUAUAUCAGGAAGAAACCGGUGGCGAAGGCGGGUCUCUGGGCCCGUUUCUGACGCUGAGGAGCGAAAGCGUGGGGAGCGAACAAGAUCAUAUACUCUGGGUAGUCCAAGGGCUAA